rnacentral:rRNA from 1 species
GACCCCAGGUCAGGCGGGACUACCCGCUGAAUUUAAGCAUAUCAAUAAGC